AACGUAGGUGGCGAGCGUUAUCCGGAAUUACUGGGCGUAAAGCGUGUGCAGGCGGGCUAGCAAGUGGUGUAUGAAAGCUCCCGGCUCAACCGGGAAGGGUUAUGCCAGACUGCUAGUCUUGAGUGCGGUAGGGGGAGAUUGGAAUUCCUGGUGUAGCGGUGGAAUGCGCAGAUAUCAGGAGGAACACCAAUGGCGAAGGCGGCUCACUGGCCCGAUACUGACGCUGAGGCACGAAAGCGUGGGGAGCAAACAGG
rnacentral:rRNA from 1 species